ensembl:lncRNA
GUGCUCGAAGUACUUCCCUUGAAGGAGAUGUAGUGUUUACACAGAUCCCAUGGUUGCUGUGAGAUCGUCUCAAACAUCCUUCGACAAGCCAGAAAGGGAAAGGAAGAGAUGCUGAGAGGCAGCAGCACUGCAGUAAGAAAUGAGCAGGAACUCUGUGGAAGCGGUUCUUCACCACACUUCACUACAUGGUGGCAUAAUCUGUUAGGCACUGCACAAACAGGCACUUGUGUUCAUGGUGGGGAGCUGCCGGGGCAGGGGAUGUGAUUUUUUGCAGUGCUUGGCCUGCUGAUACUUCCAGCACAGCAGGGUGGUCACCUGUAUCAUUCCUCAUAAACUACAGAACAGCUGUCAGUGGGAAAGGACG